CCCCUCUUAGGGUCACAUCUGGAGAGUUCCCGGUACUCUACCAGUAUCGACUACGGAAGAAAGAGUCAAGCAGAGGCAUACCCAUUCCAUUCCUAGCUUGGCUAGUGGCUAGCAAGUAGAAGGCAAUCUGCUACAAGU